rnacentral:rRNA from 1 species
CAGCCGCCGCGGUAAUACGUAGGGUGCAAGCGUUAAUCGGAAUUACUGGGCGUAAAGCGUGCGCAGGCGGUUAUAUAAGACAGAUGUGAAAUCCCCGGGCUCAACCUGGGAACUGCAUUUGUGACUGUAUAGCUAGAGUACGGCAGAGGGGGAUGGAAUUCCGCGUGUAGCAGUGAAAUGCGUAGAUAUGCGGAGGAGCACCGAUGGCGAAGGCAAUCCCCUGGGCCUGUACUGACGCUCAUGCACGAAAGCGUGGGGAGCAAACAGGAUUAGAUACCCCUGUAGUCCCUGUCUCUUAUAC